AGUCAUUGGGCUGUCUAAACCCAAAGGCGCAGUGAAAGCAUGGCAAGGCACGUUUUUAACGUGCCGGGCUUGUGGGAGGAUGGCCGUCUGGCCUCGUCCUUGUGGCGAGUGUCCGGGCCCGCACUCCCGGGGCGCCUCGGCUUCGGCCGCAGGCGCACCCAGAGCGUACACGUUGGGACCCGAAAGAUGGUGAACUAUGCCUGGUCAGGACGAAGUCAGGGGAAACCCUGAUGGAGGUCCGCAGCGAUUCUGACGUGCAAAUCGAUCGUCAGAGCUGGGUAUAGGGGCGAAAGACUAAUCGAACCAUCUAGUAGCUGGUUCCCUCCGAAGUUUCCCUCAGGAUAGCUGGUGUCCGUUUUGAGAGGAGACGAGUCUCAUCCGGUAAAGCGAAUGAUUAGAGGCCUUGGGGCCGAAACGACCUCAACCUAUUCUCAAACUUUAAAUGGGUGAGACCUCCGGCUUGCUUGAAUGAAGCCGCGAGAGUCUCGGAUCAGGGUGCCAAGUGGGCCAUUUUUGGUAAGCAGAACUGGCGCUGUGGGAUGAA
rnacentral:rRNA from 1 species